rnacentral:tRNA from 1 species
AGCCUAGUGGUUAAGGCUACGGAUCGCCAAUCCGGAGACGGCGGGUUCGAUUCCCGU